AUUGAACGCUGGCGGCAGGCCUAACACAUGCAAGUCGAGCGGAUGAAGGGAGCUUGCUCCUGGAUUCAGCGGCGGACGGGUGAGUAAUGCCUAGGAAUCUGCCUGGUAGUGGGGGAUAACGUCCGGAAACGGGCGCUAAUACCGCAUACGUCCUGAGGGAGAAAGUGGGGGAUCUUCGGACCUCACGCUAUCAGAUGAGCCUAGGUCGGAUUAGCUAGUUGGUGGGGUAAAGGCCUACCAAGGCGACGAUCCGUAACUGGUCUGAGAGGAUGAUCAGUCACACGGGAACUGAGCCGCGGCCAAGCCUCCUCAGGGAGGCAGCAGGGGGAAAUUUUGGACGAGGGGCGAAGCCCUGACCCCGCCGUGCCGCGUGUGUGAAGAAGGUUUUGUUUUUGUAAAGCUUUUUAAGUUGGGAGAAAGGGAAGAAUUUUAAUCCUUUCUUUUUUGCCGUUGCCCAAAAAAAAAGCCCCCGCCAACCUUCGGC
rnacentral:rRNA from 1 species